rnacentral:rRNA from 1 species
CCUACGGGAGGCAGCAGUAGGGAAUUUUCCACAAUGGGGGCAACCCUGAUGGAGCGACGCCGCGUGCAGGAUGAAGGCCUUCGGGUCGUAAACUGCUUUUAUAUGUGACGAAUAUGACGGUAGCAUAUGAAUAAGGAUCGGCUAACUCCGUGCCAGCAGCCGCGGUAAU